UAAAUUCACAUCUCUUCCUUGUUUUUUUCCUUCUCAGAGGUGAGUUCUCCUAAGUUACAUUUGGGCCCCAAGACAGCUGGUGUGAGAGGAUAUUCAAGAUGGGGGAAGUGUUUCUGAGGUUAUGCCCUAGCAAUAUGAAUAUUUAACACUUGCCAAAGAACUCAUCCGUCUAAUCUCCUUUCAGGAGAAGGUCUUCCUGGGGAUCCGGGACUAUAGAUAAGUGGAGGCACCAGGGAAACCAGGACAGAUCUCCUUAAUGCAGAGAAAGUUAAGAGAAGAGCUAUUAAAACAAGGAGAAAAAUUUUACUAGUUAGAAGGUCAGUAGUCAGAGGACACAGACAUAAGGUGAUUGGUAAAAUAACUAGCUGAAAGUUGAGAGGUUUUUUUGACAUAGCAAGUUGCAAUCUGGAACUAAUUACAUGAAAGAAUGGUAGUAACAGAUUCAAAAACAACUUUAAAAAAAAUUAGAUAAAUAGUUGAGAGAAGGAGCAUUGUAGACCCAUGGAACUAUUUGGAUAGAGCUAUCAAAGGUCUGGCACAAAUAUGUUUGGACCAAAUGUUUCCUUUCAUUAUUAAUUUCAAGAUAUCCUGCUGAGCAUUUGAUUCUGGAAGAUGUCAUAGGUGACACUAGUUAAUUUCUCUCCUGAUAUCCAGGUGAGCACUUUUCACUAGAUUAUAAUAAAGAAUGGGAAACUAGUUUUUCCCCUGUAUAAGCCCAUGUCCUGUUUCAUCCUUUUGAAUUUGGCAACAGUGGUGAUUCUCGCACCAGCCACCUGAGAGGGCUUCGGAGGCAGCACCUCUGGUUACGCGGAGUUCCAUUGGCAUUGCAAUAGUGUCAGUUUGCCACUAUCAGUGCCUGGAAGUUCAAAUUAUUACCUACUCAGUCUUGUGGAUCGCAUCACCUGUCAGGGGGAUGUAUUGCGGUCAAAGAGAGCAGCACAGAUUUUCCAGGUCUAAUUGCAGGCAAUAUUGGCAGGAGGUUGCUAGGAAAAGAUGUUCAUCACUUGGCUGACCUGCAUCGCAAAAGAAGUCAUGAAAUCAUGAUCUCAGAAGAUUGAUCAAGCAUGAAACAGGCCCUUCUGGCUCAACGAGUCCCACUGCCCAGCAAACCACCCAAUUUAAUCCUAGCCUAAUCACAGGACGGUUUACGACAACCUGCUAGCCUUUAUGCCUUUGGACUGUAGAAGGAAAGCAGAGCACCCAGAGGAACAGCAAGCGGUUCAGGUGGUACAAACUCCUUACAGACAAAGCCGGAAUUGAACUCCCAACUCGGGAACACCCCGAGCUGUAAUAGCAUCGCACUCUCCACUACGCUAUCAUGCCUCCCCCCAGAGAUAACUGGAAGAAGCAGUGCCAUGGCAAACGUUGACUGGUGCAGCCAUUAACAUUAACAAGUUCUGCACUAAGGUGAGGACAUAGGACAAGCUCUCAAACUACCAGCUUAUUCACGAAGACCAUGUCUGUGCUCCACAUUCCUAUGCUGGCUCCAUUUCCCUUGAAUCACUAAUAUCUGAAAGAUCCUGUUGAUCUCUGUUCCCAGGGACAUAACCCAUUGAGUCCCAUUUUAAAACUACAAAACACACGGCUUCAACUUCCCGGUUUGCACCAAGCUGUCUGUAGCAGAUUUGAAAACUGAGGAAUGGUGUCUGGAAUCUUGGCUAAAGAUUGAAAGGUCUUAAAGAUUAAAGAUUAGCUUCAUUCAACACGUACAUUGAAACAUAUAGUGAAAUGUGUUACUUGUGUUAAAUCAAAUCUGCCAGGAUUGUGUUGAGCAACCUCUAAGUGUCACUGUGCUUCUAGUGCCAACAUUGCAUGUCCGCGACUCACUAACCCUAACCGUACGUUUUCGGACUGUGGGAGGAAACCUGAGCACCUGGAGGAAACCCACACAGUCAUAGGGAGAACAUACAAACUCCUUACAGACAAUGGCAGGCAUUGAAACCCUGAUUUUACAGCUCAUGCAGUAAAAUACUGCGCUAACCACAAUGCUACUGCGCCGCCUCAUCAUGACAUUAAAUAACCGGGGAAAUUUUGAAGAAACAAAACCCAGAUGAUUGCAGUCCUUCAGAUGUGAGGGAGGAUUUGUAGACUUGGGAGGGUUCUCUGUCUUUAAAUCAAAAAAUAAUUGUUGCACAAGAUCUUGCUUCUUUUUUUAAAAAAAAAAGGAGGUGCCAAUGAUGGUAGGAGACU